GGGAAUGUGGCUUAGUGGUUAGAGCGCUUGCCUCACAUGUAUGAAGCCCUGGGUUCGAUUCCUCAGUACCA
rnacentral:tRNA from 1 species